UACGAAGGGGGCUAGCGUUGUUCGGAUUUACUGGGCGUAAAGCGCACGUAGGCGGAUCGUUAAGUCGGGGGUGAAAUCCUGGAGCUCAACUCCAGAACUGCCUUCGAUACUGGCGAUCUUGAGUCCGGAAGAGGUGAGUGGAACUCCUAGUGUAGAGGUGGAAUUCGUAGAUAUCGGGAGGAACACCUGUGACGAAAGCGGCUCACUGGACCGCAACUGACGCUGAGGCGCGAAAGCUAGGGGAGCAAACAGG
rnacentral:rRNA from 1 species